UACGUAGGGUGCAAGCGUGUCCGGAAUUAUUGGGCGUAAAGAGCUCUAGGCGGUUUGUCGCGUCGACUGUGAAAACCUACAGCUUAACUGUGGGCUUGCAGUCGAUACGGGCAGGCUAGAGUUCGGUAGGGGAGACUGGAAUUCCUGGUGUAGCGGUGAAUGCGCAGAUAUCAGGAGGAACACCGGUGGCGAAGGCGGGUCUCUGGGCCGAUACUGACGUGGAGGAGCGAAAGCGUGGGGAGCGAACAGG
rnacentral:rRNA from 1 species